AGGACGAGGGCCACUCGGGCUAGCCAAGGAGACUGCCUGUUGUACAUAGUGACAGAUCACAUACAAGCAGGGAUGCAAGCGCAAUCGAUAUCAAGCUAUACAUCCACAGGCAAGUCAUCCUUGGCUACCAGAGGAAGCCCUCGUCG
rfam:Hordeum vulgare subsp. vulgare, WGS project CAJW01000000 data, contig: morex_contig_160391